AAGAUCCUCUGGAGAAGGGAAUGGCAACCCACUUCAGUAUUCCUGCCUGGAGAAUCCCACGGACAGAGGAGCCUGGUGGGCUAUAGUCCGUGGGGUUACAAAGAGUCAGACAUGACUGAGCAGGCACACACAUAUGCAUACAUGGAGGAGAUGUGCACAACACAUAUGCCGUGGUUUCUCACUCACUGCCCCGUUUACCCACAACAAAAAAUUCUAGUGGACUCUGGAUAAUGCAUAGGAAUCCAAGGAUUUCCUUGGAAACCAGAGAUGCGGCUCCUGUUUGAAUUGGACCUGAAGACAAGAACAUGAAGUGGAACUCCGGUGGGGCUGGGGACAGUGCGGGAUUCUGGGGAUGACAUUCAAAGUAGUUGCCUUCAUUUUUGUAUUUCAGAUAUACGUAUUCAGCUUACAGGAGCUGCAAGAGCCCAAAGAAAGAACAGCAACACCGAUGGCAGUUCCCAACCCCAUCCUCACACCCACUGACCUAAACUGAUCGAGGCCACUAAAAAUGAGGAAGUAGUAAAAUUCAGACUGUCUCCCCUCAUGAACUUACAAAAGCUAAACUAAGUAGAAGUGCCAGCCAGUCUCUGGUUAUUUCAAUAUAUAAAAAGCCAGACAGGGGUGAUUCAGCCCUAGUCUUCUCGUAAGGCACUCAUUCUGGUCGAUUGGUGGAGAGAGACCUUACUUUGUACUCAGUACUGUGUUAGAUAUUGAGAAAACAGUGAUGAAAAUCAGCGUACUCCUUGCUAGAGCCCACAGGGUAGAAUAGGAAACUCUAGACACUGAAACCUUGCUGCAAUAGAAUGAGCAGUUUAGGAGCAUAUGAGGGCCAAUGUGCAAUCCUAAGGGAGCCCUGAUUCUCCUGGAUAUUUCUGGAGUGUCUACUAUAGCAUGACACUUGCUAAAUACUGGAGAACAGUUAUUUAGGGAUGGUUCUAAAAAUGACUAUCCACAUGAUACCAAACAAAACACGUCAAAUAACCAGUUGCUUUGCUACAUUAUGCCAAAUAACUCACCAUCCAAAAUAUAUUGCAGAUAGAAUGACCCAGAUGUCUUGAACACAUGAGAACAUGACUAAGAAGACAGUUCUGACCCUUGAAUUAAUCUAAGAAUCCGUUUAGAACCUUUGAUCUCAGAAAUAUCAAUUUUAAAAAACAAAGUUCCAAAGAUUACAGAAACACAC
ensembl:lncRNA